rnacentral:rRNA from 1 species
AUACGGAGGGUGCAAGCGUUAAUCGGAAUUACUGGGCGUAAAGCGCGCGUAGGCGGUUUGUUAAGCGAGAUGUGAAAGCCCCGGGCUCAACCUGGGAACUGCAUUUCGAACUGGCAGGCUAGAGUGUAGAAGAGGGGUGUGGAAUUUCCGGUGUAGCGGUGAAAUGCGUAGAGAUCGGAAGGAACAUCAGUGGCGAAGGCGACACCCUGGUCUAACACUGACGCUGAGGUGCGAAAGCGUGGGUAGCAAACAGAAUUAGAAACCCCAGUAGUCC